rnacentral:rRNA from 1 species
GACGAACGCUGGCGGCGGGCUUAACACAUGCAAGUCGAACGGAAAGGCCCUGCUUUUUUGGUGUUCUCGAGUGGCGAACGGGUGAGUAACACGUGAGUAACCUGCCCUAGACUUUGGGAUAACUUCAGGAAACUAGGGCUAAUACCGUAUAGGAGCCCCCGCUGCAUUGUGAGGGUGGGAACGUCGCGGCUUGUGGGGAUGAACGCGCGGCUUAUCAGUUUGUUGGUUGGGUAGUGGCUUACCAAGGCUUUGGCGGGUAGCCGGCCUGGGAGGGUGACCGGCCACAUUGGGACUGAGAUACGGACCAGAGUCCUACGGGAGGCAGCAGUGGGGAAUCUUGCACAAUGGGAGGAAGCCUGAUGCAGAAACGCCGCGUGCGGGAUGACGGCCUUCGGGUUGUAAACCGCUUUCGCCUGUGACGAAGCGUGAGUGACGGUAAUGGGUAAAGAAGCACCGGCUAACUACGUG